CCUUAAUAUAAAUUAAGUUUUGUGUUGCUUUCAAGAGAACUUUUUACUGGUCUGCGGUUUUGUGAGCUUCUGUAUGUUGAAUAUUCGAAAUGGUCAUGGUUGAAAUCUGGCAAUGAGAGACAGAUAUGGAAAUUGCAGUCUAUGCUUGGUACUUGAAAACACAAUAACACGACGAUGCCAAAUUUGUCCAUUUUCAAGAUAAUCGCUACCAGUUACUUCUGAAGUCUU
rnacentral:lncRNA from 1 species